AAAAAAAUCCAAACUAUCUGUGAUUAUCUCUAAAAAUUGUGAAGGAUUUUAAUUGGAUUUUUUUUUAUUUCCCCCUUCCAAAUAUUACCCCUUGUUUUAAUCAAAGUAUUUUGUCUGAUUUUUUAUUAAACUUGUCUAAAAAAUGUGACUAUAAUUUCUUAAAGAUGGUUCUGCAUAGAAAAUCAGUACCACACCUUUACACCAUCUUGUGUCAACGAAGCAAUAGCAAAGAAUUGUUUCUACUGAACCUACUAGGUUGAGCCAACAUAAGUAGCUUCAUUUUUACAGUGCAAGGCUAUAACCAUGUUCAAGUCUUAUCUCUACUACUUACAGUGUAGUGUUUCCUCUUCCAGCUGUAAUUUUUGUGACUUCAUUGUAUCAAUGCACUCAGAAUAUGCUGAAUACGCAUUAAGUUUUCUUCCUUGUGGUCCUGAAAUCAGGAACCGUGGUGCUGUCAUUGCGCCUUCUUGAGCACUUUGGGUGCUCAUUUUAGCUUUGACAAUUGGCCCAUCUGUUUGAGCAGUACUUCAAGAGAGCCAAAUUUAUCCCAUGAACACUCAGAGGUAUCAGUAGUUAACUUUUUGGCAGUCAUGCAUAACUCUUUGAAAGUUUAUCUGUGGUUGAAUGUUUUGUAGGAGUUUUGUUUUGCCCGUUGUUAUAGCUGAUAUUGAAUGUUAGGUUUAGAAUUACUGCUAAAAUGUGUAUCUCUCUUUGUAGAUAAGGAAAAGGUUCCAAGGGAUUAAAUCAGUAAUGCCGAGCCCAGUAGUUUCCAGAAGCUGCUCUUCAAACUAAUCUGAAACCUCCCUCCUGUAUGCAUGCUUGCACAAACCACAGCACAGUAAUGCUUCCCCCGACUUAAUGUUCUCCUUCUACACUUACUAUCAAGAAGCAGACUUGUGCUGUGUUUUGUUACUUAGUUUGGGCUUGGGAUUUUUCCCCAUUGAAAAGUGUGAAUACUUAAGUGUACUUUUGUAAGAAACUUGAGUUUAGGGGUGGAUUUUACCUCUAGCUUUGACAACAAUGUUUGCUUUUUCAAUAGCAAGUUCUGUGAUUUCCUGUGACAGCUUUGUCCUCAGACCAGAAUAUCUCCCCGCUGGAAUGUCCUCUUGAACUGCAACACAAGAACAGAAUUAAAUUCAUUGCAGGGUUUUGAGGAUGAUCAAUCAAAACAAAACGAGAGCUAAUGAUUUUAGAAAUAGGUCUUUGUAGCUAAACACGAAAAUUGAGGUUUGGUAUAGGGCUGACUGGGUGUUAUGCAGGGGCUGUCAGAUGCAGGUCAGACAAAAUGACAUACCGGCUUCUGCUCCCUCAGUCUAAAGUUGUAUGAAAACAAUCAUUCAGCAGCAUCUACAAUAGACUGUACACUAGCUGAUGUGAUUUGCAGUGGCCAACAUUGAAAAUCUUUAGGGCACAAAGUUCCAUUCUAAAUAGAAGCGUGAAAGAUCCAGGUGAAUGUUACAUGUGGAUGGAUUACGUUCAAUAAGCAUUCAUCUAACAGGUCUAAAUCCAGUGGGCUACAUGUAAUCUUUUGUGUAGUUAUGAAUGGAUGAACUGCAUAAUAUACUGCCACGGUUAUUAUUUGUGGGAGAGAAUUGUCAAGUGUCAGGGAACUAAUGGCACUGCCAAAUGCUUGUAAUUACAGUAUUGCAGUGGAAGAAACAGUUUUAUUUGAAUACAUUUCUCUGUUCCUAUUAAUCCCUUGGAUACAUUUGUGAUAACUAAUGUUUUCUUAGUCCCUCUGGAAUAAAUACUCCGAACAGUGAACAACUUUAAAUAUCACAUAGCUGAAAAAAUAUGUAGUUAAAUUUUAAAAGUAGUAUUUCACAACAGUAGAGUAUUACUGAUACUUUUUGUAUCCUCUUUUCUAGAACUCUACCUUAUACAAAGAGAAAACACAAUUUCUGGCCGUUUGUAUCGUCAGAAUAUUGUACGCAAACAUAUAUUUACUAUGGAAGGAAGGGUGCAUGUUAGUACUCUGUCUGAGACCACUUGUGUUAAUCCGGAGCACAGAAAUUCAGUCUGUAAAGAUGGAGCCUUGCAUGGCAUCCUCUGGACACCAUAUAUAAGCUCAGACGGAUAUUGAGAGAAAAGUUGAAAGACAGCAUCUACAUUUUCUGUACAUUCCCUCCCUCUUUGGCUGCUGCUGGCAUGAUCACACUCCCAAAGCUCUUGGUCCACCUUGCUGUACUCUAUAUGCAGAGUGAGUAAGGAACAUACUAGAAGGGCCUCCCAAGAGGAGUGAAUUCUGAGUCUGCUGAAUGAAGGUGAAUUGCCACAGUAGUGGCAGUAGUCAUAUAGAACAACUGAGGUAUUGCCAUUAUUUCCAGAGCUCAGAGAGAUAAUACUUUUCCAGUGUCCAGUUGCUGCAUAACGAAGGAAAAAGAAGUAAUCUAACAGAUUUCCGGACAGCUAACAGCAUUUCUAUGCAAAAGUGAUCAUGCAGGUAAGUACAUGGCCUUCAUUCAACUGAUGCUGUACACUAACUUACAGUAUAGUCAUUCACUACGGUGGAAAAACUAUUUUUAAAAAGAGAAGAGUACAAAUUAUGGCCAGAUUACCUAUCAUAUUCAGUUUGUUGGAUGGAGAGUGAAAAGAGAUGAGAAAACCAGAGCAAUGUUAGUAGCUUGUGCAAAGCACCCUCUUUUUCCCAUUUUCUUGCCUGUUAGGCCUCACAAUGUGCUUCUGCUAGCAAAAUGUUUUUCCACAAGUGAACUCUAACAUAUAAGUACAGGUCAGUCAGUCUCACCUCAGUGCUUGGCAAAUUCACGGAGCAGACCCUCCUAAAAACUAUACUAAGGCACGUGAAAAACAAAGAGGUGAUUGGUGACAGCCGACAUGGCUUCACUAAGGGCAAAUCAUGCCUGACAAAUUUAGUGACCUUUGUGAUAGCAUUACAGCAUUGGAUAAAAAAAGAUCAACUAAUGCCAUCUACCUGGACUUGUGCAAAACAUUUGACACUGUCUCACAUGACAGCCUUGUCUUUAAAGGAUUUCGGAAGGUGAAUAAUCACCUUCAUGCAAUUCCUGCAUGAAAUAGGGUCAACAGAAAUUUCCAUCAGAAAAAUUGAUUGAAAAUUCUUAUGUAAAGGUGGUACAUAUUAGCCAAAGGGAUGUCUUUAUUGUAAGUUGGAGCUAAUGAACAACUGUCACAGUAAACUGAGCAAUGUACAUACCAUAACCUUAAGUUUUUAAAUCUCUUGUUCACUGGCUAGUUGAAAAGACCAUCUUUGAAUCAGAUGAUCACAUCUGUGACUAAAUAUGACUUAGCAAGUUCCAGUUCAGCAUGAUACAUAGCAAUUUAGAACCAUUACACGGAACCACCUCUCAUAAACUGUUGAUCUUGGAAGGAAACAGAUGUACCCUACAAGUAACUCAUUACAGAAUAUAGCCUUCUUUCAUUAUUUGCCUUAGAAACCUGCAACUGUCAGCUUAUCUCAAACAAGGAAAAGCCUCACCUAAAAGCUAUGCUGUACAUUUAUGCCACAACAGAAACCAUGAUGUGAGAAAUCACCCUUGUGUAAAACCACUUACUGUACAUAAAGACAUGCGUGGCACAAACACACUGAAUUGGGAUUGGUGAUUAAUGCCUCUUUCAGUAAAAGAAUUAGAAAGGAUAAAAGCUAGAAAGUGGAAGUUUACUACAAACAAACGAGACAAUUCUCUAGUUAAAAUGUGAUUAAGGUAAGUCACUGCUCAAAGUUUACAAGAGUUGAAAUAAUGAGUAACCAAUUCUUGAUCAAGAAAGCUUCUUUAGGCCUAUGAAGUAAAUAGAAAUCAUUUUCACUGUGGAAUUAUCUGUGCUAAGAACUGUUGAGAUCAUAGCUAGAGUAAUUAUUCUAUGUGUGUGCUAUAAUCUUAUGCUUUUCCUUGAGUAUCAGUUUUGAUCAUUGUAAAAAAACAAGAAAUAGGCUUUGCAAACAUUCAGUUUGACCCAUACAGCUGUUAUUCUUUAAAGUUAAAACAAUUUAUUGCUUGAAGAUAGCUCUAUUAUCACCUGCCCCGGUGGAGCAACUUUUGUGUGUGAAACAUGGUUAUGUCAUUCUAACUUCUUUCUUUAAAUUAAAAAAA